rnacentral:rRNA from 1 species
CAGUAGCCGCGGUAACACGGAGGGUGCAAGCGUUACUCGGAAUUACUGGGCGUAAAGCGUGUGUAGGUGGUUGUUUAAGUCUGUCGUGAAAGCCCUGGGCUCAACCUGGGAAUUGCGAUGGAUACUGGGCGACUAGAGUGCGGUAGAGGAUAGUGGAAUUUCCGGUGUAGCAGUGAAAUGCGUAGAGAUCGGAAGGAACAUCUGUGGCGAAGGCGACUAUCUGGGCCAACACUGACACUGAGACACGAAAGCGUGGGGAGCAAACAGGAUUAGAUACCCCUGUAGUCCCUGUCUCUUAUAC